GAUGAACGCUGGCGGCGUGCCCAAUACAUGCAAGUCGAGCGAAUGGAUUAAGAGCUUGCUCUUAUGAAGUUAGCGGCGGACGGGUGAGUAACACGAGGGUAACCUGCCCAUAAGACUGGGAUAACUCCGGGAAACCGGGGCUAAUACCGGAUAACAUUUUGAACCGCAUGGUUCGAAAUUGAAAGGCGGCUUCGGCUGUCACUUAUGGAUGGACCCGCGUCGCAUUAGCUAGUUGGUGAGGUAACGGCUCACCAAGGCAACGAUGCGUAGCCGACCUGAGAGGGGGAUCGGCCACACUGGGACUGAAACACGGCCCAGACUCCUACGGGAGGCAGCAGUAGGGAAUCUUCCGCAAUGGACGAAAGUCUGACGGAGCAACGCCGCGUGAGUGAUGAAGGCUUUCGGGUCGUAAAACUCUGUUGUUAGGGAAGAACAAGUGCUAGUUGAAUAAGCUGGCACCUUGACGGUACCUAACCAGAAAGCCACGGCUAACUACGUGCCAGCAGCCGCGGUAA
rnacentral:rRNA from 1 species